CAUCUGUGGGAAGGCAGGAAGAGUUGAAGCUAUGACCACAGAUACAGGGCCGCUUGACAACUUAUGUCUUAAUACAUGCAGGUGAUAUGUAAUUUAAAAAAAAAAAUCAAAUUUUCCACAGUUUAAGUGUAAUCAAAUCUUCCCAAUGUAAGAACUGGUACUAGGCUAGCUGCAUUUCAUAGAAGAACCCAUGGCUCCCAUUGCACAGAUGGAGAAAAUGAGGCAUGGAAAGUUCCUUUCGGCCUUCCCGCUAUCUUUCUUUCUUCUAGCCUAAGGCCUGUACUUGUGGGAGGUUGGCAGUUCGGGCCAUGAAGUGUCAGGGAGAACCAGCCACCCUGUAUGUGGGUCUCUGUGACUAAUCAGAGCAAUGAUUUUUUUUGUGGCUAUUACGGUGCUGGUGAUCAAAUACGAGCUAUCAUCACAAAACUAUACCUCCCAGUUCCAUACUGAACCAACAGUGCCUUCCUUCACAGCCUGGAGACAGGCUGCCAGCUGGACACGGGCAGUCGCAGAAACACCUGCCUCUCACUUGAAGGGGUUCCCUGUCAGCCGUGGGCCCAUCAGAGCACAUGGGACAACCCUGCCGACCUGCCCAAGGAGACACAUGCCCAAGACAGGCAUCCCCAGCCACACUCCUGUGGGAGCCAGGGCUCUCAGACACCCUAUCUCUGAGGACUCUCUUGCCCAGAAUAACUGUUUGUCUUGGAUGCCCCUAAGUCCCAUGUGCCAGGAGGAAGGGCUCAGCCAGACAGGCUCCAGCCCUCUGAGGCAGACAAGCUGACACUCAGGACAGGUCUGGGAAAUGGCACACCCCCACCUACAUUCCCCACACUUCCGGGGAAAAACAGCAUCAUAGGGUGGGUUUGGAACAAGUAUCCCUAAGAGACUCUACAGUCCUUCUCUACCUGACCGGACUCUUGGAUCCCAGAGCAGCCACCGUGGGUCCUGAGGGUAAUUUUAAGGACAGAAUCCACAGGGUCAAGUACAAAGGACUACCCAUCCUGGUCUUACACAGAACGUUAACCUCCACCUCCUUCUCCUGAUGUUGCUACUGGUUACAAAAGCAGGUUACGCCCUGGCCACUUAGCUCUUCGGAUCCACUCAACCUCCUCAAGCCUCAACAUCUGUAAAAGCCUCAGUCCUUUCACUGGUCAGUGCAGUGGGUAGCCUCCCCAGGUAACUCCACCAGAAGCAACCACCCUUCCCGCCAUGGGGCAUUAGGGUGCCUAAUCAACGACCAAGAGAAGGGCAAAGCUGUAGCUGCGAGGAGACCCGGCCCAGCAGUCCCGGAAGCACACAGAACCUUGAGCCAAUCAGGGCCCAUGGGAAGCUGGAUUCGCUGGUCUGAUUGUGUCCCAGCACUGCGAGGGAGUCCCCCAGCUCACCCAGCGGGCAGGGCCUACCUGGUCGGGCCGCCUUAGGUGGGUUUUAACCUUUUUCUUUUCCGCUUUUUACCUGAUUCCCUACGCCUUCCUGUCAAGGAAAGGGCAGGGAAGGUGAGUGGCCUCCGGAGGGCCUGGAGUGGGAAGCCACAGCCAUAAAUACUGAAGGUGUUUUAUCUUUCAGAACGAAAGCCCGAUCCACCCUGGCGCCUGGACACUUCUGGGUCUAUCUCUGCGUUUGGGCUGCCUGAAUGCUGGUGCUGUAUAGGGAUGCUGGUCGGGAUGAAGGACUCAGGAUGUAGAGGCAGGAGGACCAGGAACUUAAGGUCACCUUUGGCAACAGAGUGCUGAGGUGAGCUGGGACUACAGAAGACUCCUAACUGCCCAGAAGAUCUGAAGAGCGUCAGCAAAGAAAGGGUGAACUGGACAUAGGAUGGUAGAACAUAGUACUACUCUG